rnacentral:rRNA from 1 species
AGGACGAACGCUGGCGGCGUGGAUUAGGCAUGCAAGUCGCGCGACAGACCCUCGGGUUAUGGAGCGGCGAACGGGUGAGUAACACGUGAGAAAUCUACCUUUACGUUCCGGAUAAUUGGAAGAAAUUCCUUGUAAUACGGGGGAGGUUCCUACUUUGGCAUCAGAGAAGGAACAAACGAGCAAUCGGCGCAAAGAUGAUCUCGCGGCUUAUCAGGUAGUUGGUGGGGUAACGGCCUACCAAGCCUACGACGAGUAGCUGGUCUGAGAGGAUGGUCAGCCACAUUGGAACUGAGACACUGUCCAGACUCCUACGGGAGGCUGCAGUCGAGAAUCUUGGGCAAUGCACGAAAGUGUGACCCAGCGACGCCGCGUGAAGGAUGAAGGCCCUCCGGGUCGUAAACUUCUUUUACGGGAGAAGAACACAAUGACGGUAUCCCGUGAAUAAGCCACGGCUAACUACGCGCCAGCAGCCGC